UCAGUUGUUUUCUUAGUCACGUGCCAAUCUUACCUGUCCUUCAACUAUCAACCAGUUACACUUCCUUACACACCCACACAACUCCAUUAACUUAUAAAUACAGAGUGAUCACACACAUUUGACACAAAUCGGUUUAAUUUCUGCACCAGGAAAAGACUUUUGCUGCACUAGUCAACAAGACAAAAUGAGUGAUCAGGGCAAAUCGGUGAGUCAGUUUGUUUCCUUACAGUGCUUUACACUUGUGACUAACAGCAUGAAAACAUGUAACUAUGAAGCUGUUUAACUGUCUUAGGAGGAGAUGAGAGAAGAGAAGGGGAAAAACUCAGGAUCUGAGUCUGAUUCAGAUGGAGAGGGAGGAAACAGCAAGGGAGGAAAGGGGAAAAAAGGAGGACGGGGUGGACAUGGAGGACACGGAGGACACGGAGGAGGACAUGGAGGAGGACACGGACGAGGACAAGAAAUGCGGGAGAAGCAUGGUGGUGGUCCCAAAAAAUAAUGAAAUCCUUGAAUCGCCAUUCUGUAAUAAUGAUCAUAGAGAAUUAAGUACAGUUCUAAUAAACUAAUCCAUAAAAAGGC